rnacentral:lncRNA from 1 species
AGAGCAAUGAAGUUUAAUAUAGAAAAGUAUGAGUUCACUGAUAUGGAUUCAACUAAUUUUUUACACACAUUACAACUAAUUUUUCAGAAACUGCCAUUUGUCUAAUUUUGAUGACAUAACAAAGAAGAGUAUCCACCAUGAUCUAAAAAGGUUAUUAAAAUACUAUUUUUUCCAACUCCAAAUCUGUAUGUAGCUGGAUUUCCUUCAUCUACUUCAAUCAAAACAACAUACACAACAGACUGAAUACAAAAACAGAUACGAGAAUCCAACUAUCUUCUAUUAAGCCAAACAUUAAAGAGAGUUGCAAAACUAUAAAAUGAUACUACUAUUAUCUACAUUUUUUUGUUGUUUUAGAGAAGACAGCUGUUUUUAUAAAAAGUAUGUUGGCCUGGUGCAGUGGCUCAUGCCCGUAAUCCCAGCACUUUGGGAGGCCAAGGUGGGUGGAUCACUUGAAGUCUGGAGUUCAAGACCAGCCUGGCCAAUACGGUGAAACCCCAUCUCUACAAAAAUUAGCCGGGUGUGGUGGUGAGCACCUGUAAUCCCAGCUACUCAGGAGGCUGAGGCAUGAGAAUCACUUGAGCCUGGGAGGCGAAGACUACAGUGAGCUGCAAUCGCACCACUGCACUCCAGCCUGGGCAAAAGAGUGAAACUCCGUCUCAAAACAAACAAACAAACAAACAAAAAAACAGUAUGUUCACAUGUAAUGGAUUCAUUGUUGUUACUUUUAAAUCAUCAGUUUCUAAUAUGGCAUUUUUCCAAAAUACUAAUUUUAAUGUUUAUCAUAUUUCAGACAUGGUAAAUAUUGUUAAAACCACUAAAUAAAAGUUAUUUGGGGUUGUCUAUAAUUUUUAAGAGUGUAGAAGAGCAUAUCAUUGGAUUUGUCAAUGAUUUCUUGAAUAUAACACCCAAGGCACAGGCAACAAAAGAAAAAAUAGAUAUAUUGGACCUCAUGAAAAUUAAACACUUUUUUGCAUCAAACAGCACUUUCAGCAGAGUAAAAAAGGUGAUGCACAGAAUGGGGGAAAAUAUUUGAAAAGCAUAUCUCUAGUAUGGCUUAACAUUGAGGAUACAUAGAGAAAUUUAAAUAUUCCACAACAGAAAAACCAAACAACCCCAUUCAAAAAAGGGCAAAGGAAUUGAACAGACAUUUCUCCAAAGAAGAUAUACAAGCACAAUAAGCCCACAAAAAGAUGCUAGAAAUCAUAAAAAGCAUGGGGAAAAAAAAGGAGACAUAUGGGACUACAUCAAACUUAAAAAUUUCUGUGCAACAGAGGAUACAAUUAGGAGUGAAAAGGCAGCCGGGUGCAGUGGCUCACACCUGUAAUCCUAACACUUUGGGAGGCUGAGGCAGACAAAUCACUUGAGCCUAGGAGUUCAAGAACAGCCUGGGUAAUAUGGUGAAAUCUCAUCUCUACAAAAAAUAAAAAAUUAGCCAGAUGUGGUGACAUGUGUCUAUAGUCCCAGCUAUUUGGGAGGCUGAGGUGGGAGCAUCCCUUGAGCCAGGAAGGUCGAGACUGCAGUGAGCCACAUUCACGCCAUUGUACUCCAGUGAUAAUAGAGCAAGACCUUGUCUCAAAAAAAAAAAAAAAAAAAAAAGAAAAAGAAAAAGAGUGAAAAGACAACCCACAGAAUGGGAAAAAACAUUUGCAAAUCUUAUAUCUGAAAAGGAUUUACUAUCCAGAAUAUAUUUUUAAAAUUCCUACAACUCAACAACAAAGGGCAAAUGCCUUCAUUUUUAAAAUGGGUAAAGGACUUUGAAUAGUCUCCAAAGAAGGGACACAAAUGGCCAACAAUCAUAUGUAAAGAUGCUCAACAUCACUAAUCAUUAGAGAAAUGCAAAUCAAAACCACAAAGAAUUAUCACCUCACACCCAUUAGGUUGGAUACUAUCAAAAAUUUAAAAACAGACCCAACUAUAUGUGGCCUAUGAAGAUUAACUUCACAUUUAAGAACACACAUAGAAUGAAAGUGAAAGGCUAGAAAAAGACAUUUCAGGCAAAUGGAAACCAAAGAGAGCAGGGGUAGCUAUACUUAAAACAGACUAAGUAAAAACUGUAAAACAAGACAAAGAACAUCAUUACAUAAUGACAGAGGAUCAAUUUAUCAAGACAAUAUAACAACUGUAAAUAUACAGCUGACCCUUGAACAACACGGGUUUGAACUGCACAGGUCCACUUAUAUGCAGAUUUUUUCCAACCAAAUGAGGAUCAAAAAUACAGUACUCACAGGAUGGGAAACCCAUGUACAUGGAGGGCCAACUUUUCAUAUACAGAGGUUUCGCAGGGCAACUGUGGGACUUGAAUGGUGCAGCUUUUGUUACACACAGAGGUACUGGAAGCAAUCCCACACCAAGGGACAACUGUAAAUACAUCCAACAUCAAAGCUUCUAGAUACAUAAGGCAAAUAUCAAUACAUCUAGAGAGAGAGAGAUUAUAAUACAAUAAUAGUAGGGGACUUUAGGCCAGGUGUGGUGGCUCACACCUGUAACCCCAGCACUUUGGGAGGCUGACGUGGGCAGAUCACUGGAACUCAAGGGUUCAAGACCAGCCUGGCCAACAUGGCGAAAUCACAUCUCUACUAAAAAUACAAAAAUUAGCUGGACAUGGUGGCUCCCACCUGUAAUCUCAGCUACUCAGGAGGCUGAGGGAGGAGAAUCACUCGAACCCGGGAGGAGGAGGUUUCAGUGAGCCGAGAUUUUGCCACUGCACUCCAGCCUGGGUGACAAAGCAGGACUCCAUUUCCAUAAUAAUAAUAAUAGUAGGAGACUUCAAUAGUCCACUUUCAAUAAAGCCAGAAAAUCAAAAAGGAAACAUCAAACUUGAACUACACUUUAGACCAAAGGAAACUAACAGACAUAAAGAACAUUCCAUCCAACAGCAGCAGAAAAUACAUUCUUCCCAAGUGCACAUGGAACAUUCUUGAGGACAACUCACAUGUUAGGCCACAAAACGAGUCUUAAUAAACUUUAGAAGACUGAAAUCAUACCAAGUAUCUUUUCUGACCACAAUGGUAUGAAACUAGAAAUAAUAAAAAGAAUUUUGGAAAAUUUCACAAAUACAAAGAAAUUGAACAACAUGCUCGUGAACAAUAGCCAGACAAGGACACUACAAGAAAAGAAAAUUAUAGACCAAUGGGACUACAUCAGCAUAGAUACAAAAAUCCUCAAUAAGGCCAGGUGCAAUGUGGCUCACACCUGUAAUACCAGCACUUUAAAAGACUGAGACAGGAGGAUUACUUGAGCCCAGGAGUUUAAGGCCUGCAGUAAACCAAGAUUAUGCCACUGCACUCCAGCCUGGGUGACAAAGCAAGACCAGCAAACCAAAUUCAACAACACAUUAAAAAGAUCAUCCAGGCCAGGCUCAUGUCUGUAAUCCCAGCACUUUGGGAGGCGAAGGCAGGCAGACUUGAGGUCAGGAGUUUGAGAGCAGCUUGGCCAACAUGGUGAAGACCCAUCUCUACUGAAAAUACAAAAACUAGCCAGGAUGGUCUCCAUCUCCUGAUCUUGUGAUCUGCCCACCUCAGCCUCCCAAAGUGCUGGGAUUACAGGCGUGAGCCACCACGCCCAACCUGAUCAUCUCAAUUGAUGGAGAAAGGUAUUCAACAAAAUUAAACAUCCUUUCAUGAUUAAAAACUCUCAAUAAAUUAGGCACAGAAGGAAUGGACCUCAACACAGUAAGGGUCAUGUACGAUAAGCCCACAGCUAACAUCAUAUUGAAUAGUGAAAAUUGAAAGUUUUUUUCGUAAGAUUAGUAAUAAGACAAGAAUGCUUAUUUCAGACACUUCUAUUGAAAACAGUAUUGGAAAUCCUAGCCAGAACAAUUAGUCAAGAGAAAGAAAUAAAAUUUGUCCAAAUCGCAAAGGAAAAAGUUAAAUUGUCUGUCUGUUGAUGACAUGAUCUUUAGAU